rnacentral:rRNA from 1 species
AUGAAAAUUAUUUGCUGGAACUGUCAAGGUUUGGGUCAACCUCGGACAGUCCAAGAGCUGGUGUGCCUCACAAAGACACAUCGACCCAAUGUUAUCUUCCUUUCUGAAACAAGGCAAAAUAAAAAGUAUGUUGAGAGUUUGUGUUAUCGCCUUGGUAUGAAAAAUGUAUUUACUGUUUCUGUUCCAGGAAAAGGAGGUGGCUUAGCGGUUUUUGGGAUGACCUUUAUACCUUGGAGUUGA